ACGGGUGAGUAAUGCCUAGGAAUCUGCCUGGUAGUGGGGGAUAACGUUCGGAAACGGACGCUAAUACCGCAUACGUCCUACGGGAGAAAGCAGGGGACCUUCGGGCCUUGCGCUAUCAGAUGAGCCUAGGUCGGAUUAGCUAGUUGGUGAGGUAAUGGCUCACCAAGGCGACGAUCCGUAACUGGUCUGAGAGGAUGAUCAGUCACACUGGAACUGAGACACGGUCCAGACUCCUACGGGAGGCAGCAGUGGGGAAUAUUGGACAAUGGGCGAAAGCCUGAUCCAGCCAUGCCGCGUGUGUGAAGAAGGUCUUCGGAUUGUAAAGCACUUUAAGUUGGGAGGAAGGGCAGUUGCCUAAUACGUAACUGUUUUGACGUUACCGACAGAAUAAGCACCGGCUAACUCUGUGCCAGCAGCCGCGGUAAUACAGAGGGUGCAAGCGUUAAUCGGAAUUACUGGGCGUAAAGCGCGCGUAGGUGGUUUGUUAAGUUGGAUGUGAAAUCCCCGGGCUCAACCUGGGAACUGCAUUCAAAACUGACUGACUAGAGUAUGGUAGAGGGUGGUGGAAUUUCCUGUGUAGCGGUG
rnacentral:rRNA from 5 species